rnacentral:rRNA from 1 species
AUUGAACGCUGGCGGCAGGCAUAACACAUGCAAGUCGAACGAGUGGCGGACGGGUGAGUAAUUUCUGGGAAACUGCCUGAUGGAGGGGGAUACUUACUGGAAACGGAAGCUAUUACCGAAUACCACCAGAUGUGCCAAGAUGGGAUUAGCUUGUUGGUGGGGUAACGGCUCACAAAGGCGACGAUCCCUAGCUGGUCUGAGAGGGUGACCAGCCACACUGGAACUGAGACACGGUCCAGACGCCUACGGGAGGCAGCAGUGGGGAAUAUUGCACAAUGGGCGCAAGCCUGAUGCAGCCAUGCCGAGUGUAUGAAGAAGGCCUUCGGGUUGUAAAGUACUUUCAUCGGGGAGGCGUUACCCGCAGAAGAAGCACCGGCUAACUCCGUGCCAGCAGCCGCGGUAAUUC